CUGUCUUAUUUAUAAAAAUUGAAUUUGACUUUUGAGUGAAAAGGCUUAAAUAUUAAAAAGGGACGAUAAGACCCUAUAAAACUUUAUAUAAAGUAAAUUUUUUAUUAUAAUUAUUUGUUUAGUAAUAAAUAGUUUAUUAAUAUUUUAUUGGGGCGAUAGGAAUAUAGAUAGAUAACUGUUCUUUUAAUUUAAAAACAAAGAUUAUUGUUUUGAAUGAUCCUUAGUAAAGAUUCAAAGGUAAAGUUACUUUAGGGAUAACAGCGUAAUUUUUUUUGAGAGUUCUUAUCGACAAAAAAGAUUGCGACCUCGAUGUUGAAUUAAAAUUUCUCUAUGGUGCAGGAGCUAUAGAAGAGAGUCUGUUCGACUUUUAAAUUUUUA
rnacentral:rRNA from 1 species